CAUCUGAGAUGGCAUGAGAAAGAAACCUUGAGAGGAACCACACGCAAAAGGGACCCCCCUCCUCAUUACCGAAUGUCAUUACAGUUCCAUCAUGGUUGAGAUGUUCUGUUUAGUAAUAGGUGCUGAAAUGGACAAUUGUUCAUGCAACCUGUGUUCGUGAGCCAUUGGAGCAAACUUUCGAUGUUAAUUACAUCAAAAUCCAAUCUCAUUGUUGUCUCAUGAGUUGCUCAGUAACCUCAUGGAUCUUGAUGUGGAACCAUCCCCAGCUUCACAGAGUGGUCUCCAAAUACAAAGAACUCCAUCCAGGGCUCCCCUUCGUAUGGCCCAAAAUGGACACCAACUGGAACAGUCUCAGCUUUAUUAAACACUCCCAGUCCAGCUCCAGCAAUAUCAGACUGUUGAACCUCCAGACCAAGUGGAAGGGUUUGUUGAUGGUGGUCUAUUGUCCCAGAGAUCCCUCAUGUGUGUUGCCAGAAGGCCUACAGAUGUCACCAUUCCCUUUCCAUUGUUGAGGAACAUGAACUUGUCCAUCAGCUUGUUCACUGUCUGUAGUCUUCACUUUCAUUUAAAUGAAGACUCCAUUGUGUGAACCUUUUGUGUUACCCAUUUCUAUUGCGUUUAUAUUCUUUCUGUUGAUUACUAUGUGCAUUUGCAUAUGUAAAUAUAUCUGCAUUAUAUGUAUAUAUUUUAAUAUAUGUUUAAUCUUAGUGUAUACGUUUGUGUAACAUUUGUAGAUUUGGAAUUGAAUUGUGUUAGUGCAGGUUGUGUAAUAAAUUAGAUUCUGUACUUUUUGUAGAUUAGGUUUUUAAUUUAGAACUAUGGAUCUUGCUUGUGGUUUAAAUUGUGUUGUGUGUGUGUGUGUGUGUGUGUGUGUAUAAUGUUUGAUUUCACUGCAUGCCGCUUUUCUGUUUAAAACUAAAUGGUGCCUGGAAAUUGUAAAUUGGGAUUAGUAUCCGGGCGGUAAAGUCAUUGUUGGUUUUUAUGUAUUUUGUGUUUUUGUGUAUCCAUUUUGUGUAUUUGUACAUUUCAUUCUUGUGUUUUUACCAGAAUUGGACCAUAAAGCAUUGCACACUCA